AGAUGCAAUCUGGACCUUCCGAAGAGAUACAGUUUUCCUUCCCUUCAGAGUUUAGGUGAGAGUCCAAACUCCUUUGGACUCUUAAUUUUUGAUGCCACCACAUCUAAUCUUUUUGCACCCCAUAUACCUCAUGGAAGAAAGGAUUUAAGAAUCUUUCUUGCAUGUCAAAAAGGAGAGGAAGGCAUGGAAAAAUUGGCAUCCAAAAUUGAGUUGGCGUGGGACUUGAUUGUGGCGCAUGGA
rnacentral:lncRNA from 1 species